rnacentral:rRNA from 1 species
UACGAAGGGUGCAAGCGUUAAUCGGAAUUACUGGGCGUAAAGCGUGCGUAGGUGGUUUGUUAAGUCUGCUGUGAAAGCCCUGGGCUCAACCUGGGAAUGGCGGUGGAUACUGACAGGCUAGAGUGCGGUAGAGGAGGGUGGAAUUCCCGGUGUAGCGGUGAAAUGCGUAGAGAUCGGGAGGAACAUCAGUGGCGAAGGCGGCCCUCUGGACCAGCACUGACGCUGAGGCACGAAAGCGUGGGGGAGCAAACAGGG